CCUACGGGUGGCAGCAGUGGGGGAUAUUGCACAAUGGGGGAAACCCUGAUGCAGCGACGCCGCGUGUAGGAAGACGGUCCUCUGGAUUGUAAACUACUGUUCCCAGGGACGAAGAUGACGGUACCUGGGGAGGAAGCUCCGGCUAACAACGUGCCAGCAGCCGCGGUAAUACGCCGGGAGCGAGCGUUGUACGGAAUUACUGGGUGUAAAGGGAGCGUAGGCGGGGAUGCAAGUUGGGUGUUAAAUCUACCGGCUCAACCGGUAGUCACACUUAAAACUGCAGUUCUUGAGUGGAGGAGAGGCAGGCGGAAUGCCGGGUGUAGCGGUGAAAUGCGUAGAUAGUAGGAGGAACACCAGUGGCGAAGGCGGCAUGCUGGGCUUUUACUGACGCUGAGGCUCGAAAGUGUGGGGAGCAAACAGGAUUAGAUACCCCAGUAGUC
rnacentral:rRNA from 1 species